UACGUAGGGGGCUAGCGUUGUCCGGAAUCAUUGGGCGUAAAGCGCGUGUAGGCGGCCCGGUAAGUCCGCUGUGAAAGUCGGGGGGCUCAACCCUCGGAUGCCGGUGGAUACUGUCGGGCUUGAGUACGGAAGAGGCGAGUGGAAUUCCUGGUGUAGCGGUGAAAUGCGCAGAUAUCAGGAGGAACACCAAUUGCGAAGGCAGCUCGCUGGGACGUUACUGACGCUGAGACGCGAAAGCGUGGGGAGCAAACAGG
rnacentral:rRNA from 1 species